AAUGAACGCUGGCGGCAGGCCUAACACAUGCAAGUCGAGCGAGGACUUCGGUCCUAGCGGCGGACGGGUGAGUAACGCGUGGGAAUAUGCCCUUUGGUACGGAAUAGCCUCGGGAAACUGGGAGUAAUACCGUAUGUGCCCUUCGGGGGAAAGAUUUAUCGCCAAAGGAUUAGCCCGCGUUGGAUUAGGUAGUUGGUGGGGUAAUGGCCUACCAAGCCGACGAUCCAUAGCUGGUUUGAGAGGAUGAUCAGCCACACUGGGACUGAGACACGGCCCAGACUCCUACGGGAGGCAGCAGUGGGGAAUCUUAGACAAUGGGCGCAAGCCUGAUCUAGCCAUGCCGCGUGAUCGAUGAAGGCCUUAGGGUUGUAAAGAUCUUUCAGAUGGGAAGAUAAUGACUGUACCAUCAGAAGAAGCCCCGGCUAACUCCGUG
rnacentral:rRNA from 1 species